rnacentral:rRNA from 1 species
AGUGAACGCUGGCGGUAGGCCUAACACAUGCAAGUCGAACGGCAGCACCGUAAGAGCUUGCUCUUACGGGUGGCGAGUGGCGGACGGGUGAGGAAUACAUCGGAAUCUACUUUUUCGUGGGGGAUAACGUAGGGAAACUUACGCUAAUACCGCAUACGACCUACUGGUGAAAGCAGGGGAUCUUCGGACCUUGCGCGAUUGAAUGAGCCGAUGUCGGAUUAGCUAGUUGGCGGGGUAAAGGCCCACCAAGGCGACGAUCCGUAGCUGGUCUGAGAGGAUGAUCAGCCACACUGGAACUGAGACACGGUCCAGACUCCUACGGGAGGCAGCAGUGGGGAAUAUUGGACAAUGGGCGCAAGCCUGAUCCAGCCAUACCGCGUGGGUGAAGAAGGCCUUCGGGUUGUAAAGCCCUUUUGUUGGGAAAGAAAAGCAGCAGGUUAAUACCCCGCUGUUCUGACGGUACCCAAAGAAUAAGCACCGGCUAACUUCGUG